GAAACCCAAACGGCCUAACCCUAGAAUCGCUCAUUCCCUGUCCCUCCUCCUGUGUGCGGCGCCGCCGCUGCGCACAGACCACAUCUCGUCGCCCUCCUCCACAUCUCCGGCCAAGGCGCUCACUUCUCCGGCCGUCCUCCACAUCUCCUCGCCCUCCUCCACAUCUCCGGCCAAGGCACUCACUUCUCCGGCCGUCCUCCUCAUCCUCCACCCCAUCCACUUCCUGUUCUCCAAGACUGCAACAUGGUGCUCGGCGGCUGCGGCAACGUAGCUGAUGGAGCGCGAGCCGACCAGUUCAACGGAGGCAGUAGCACGGGGCAGCGGCAACAGCAUGGAGGGUGUCCGCUUGACUGGGAAGGUGAUGGAACUGCAAAUAGGAGUGGCAGCUGCAACCAUGAUGCAAGUGCAAUUGGUUCCCAAAGCUCUUGGAAAGGUAACAUACUAACAUGAUAUGAGCUGUGAGAUUGCAUGGGGUUCUUAUAGAGCUCUAAUUUAGUUCAAAUAAAAAAGAUGGCAUAGAGCUCUCACUUAAUUCAGUACUUCCAUGAAACUAUUUGGUAUUUGUUCCUAUAUUGUUUGGAGUUGUAUCAGCAAGGAGGGGUGAUUAACAUACUUGAUGAUGAUGAAGAAGAAAUUCAGAUGAAUAUUCGAGAGGCAUUGCGUGACCCGAAUGUCUCCCGCAGAGUUGAUAGGAGGAUUGGCAAGGGGAGUGUGGGUGACGUGCGAGUUUCUGUUGGCAAAAAGAGUAUCACCGCAUAUUUUGACAAGCAAUUAUGCAGCAACAAAGUAUGCAGCCCAAGAUCAGUAGUGCUUUGGAUCCUAAUUCUAGAGAUGCACUUGGCCUAGCUUGGUCUAAAUUUUUUCAUGCCAAUGAUAUUGCUGGACGUAAAGCUGACUGUCCAUACUUCCGAGCUGCUUUGAAGAUCACUCAAUAAUUAGGGCCUACUCCUAUACCAACCACACUGCUGAUCCAAUUAGGGCCUACUCCUACACUCAAGAGAAAGAGAGAGAUAUAGAUAAAAAGGUUGAUCCAAGUGCACUGUUGAUACAAGUACAAAUGCAAGUGGAAGAAGAGAUACAAGUACAAGUCGAAAAGGAGACACAAGCAAGCGUUGGCAAUUUGGAGACUCGUAGAUCUGGACGACUAGUUAGGAAGAAGGUCAAGGAAGUCAACAGCCUCUACUCAUAGAUUUGAGCUUGGAGCAUGAUGCUAGUUGGAGCUUGGAGCAUUGAAGCUGGACUUUUUCGAUGGAACAAGACCUCCCCGUCCAUGCUUUCAUGGAUUUCUUUUGGAGCUGUUGUUCGUUGUGAUGCUUUGAUGGUUGUCUUUUGCUAUUCGGUGUGAUGCUUUGAUGGCUGUCUUCUGGAGCCGUUUCUAUGUGAAAUCCUUUAAAUCCUAUUGUUGGUUGUACUGAAGUAUCUAAACUUUGGAGUGAUGUGAUGGUUGUGGACUGUAAGUUUAGAACUAAUGUGCGUGAGGGUUAUAUUGGACUGACGCUCUUAUUUUAAUCCCUGGAGCUAAUUUGCUAAACAUUAUAUGAUUA